GCUCGAGUGGCGAACGGGUGAGUAACACCUGAGUAACCUGCCCUUGACUUUGGGAUAACUUCAGGGAACUGGGGCUAAUACCGGAUAGGAGCUCCUGCUGCAUGGUGGGGGUUGGAAAGUUUCGGCGGUUGGGGAUGGACUCGCGGCUUAUCAGCUUGUUGGUGGGGUAGUGGCUUACCAAGGCUUUGACGGGUAGCCGGCCUGAGAGGGUGACCGGCCACAUUGGGACUGAGAUACGGCCCAG
rnacentral:rRNA from 1 species